UCCCCUCACCGACCCUCCCGUAGCAGCAGCACGACCAGAGAGGUCAUCUCCUCUGAUUCCGGCAACUUCUGCCGCCGCCACCGUUCGGACGGUUCCGACGCCGCCCGACCCUCCCUCUCCAAAAUACCACCACCAUGAGCCUCCUUGAGCAUCCACGGACCCAUCACCACCUUCCAUUUAGCUCGGGAACCACCGUGGGCGAAACGCCCAAUUCGUCUCCGCCGGAGACUUUCGGUAAUCCUCGUCGCCGGCGAGACAGGGGCUCCCGUCGGCCAUGCAGGCCACCGGCAGGACCGCAUCGGCCUCCUCGACACGACGAUGGUCUCGGCUCACCGUGGGGCGCCGUCGUUAGCCGGCGAACGCCGCCGAAGCCCCGCCUCUGCUUCUGUACAGACGCGCGCGCGAGGAGAGGACGAACCCGACAGGUGGGGCCCACCUGUCGGUGAGCCACCGGUUCGCUCCCGUGCGGCUGGGCGACUGGGCUCGGCCCAAUAGCGCUCUUCAGCUAAUCAGCGCACAGGGCGCUUCUCAGCUCUCUUCUUUUUAUUCUUUUCCAGUAGCGUUCCAAUAAUUCCACAUCAGAUAAAUUACACCUAAAUUUAUCGAUUCACAUUUAUGCAUGCUUCUAAAAUCAUGAAUUGUUAAUCUAGAUAGGGUGAACAUUUUUGUUAUGCUUGGUAUUUGUGAAAUAAAUUAAAGAUUGCCUUUAAUAUUUUAAUCCAGCUUAGUAAUUUCAUAACUAAUUCAUAUAAACUCUAAAUAAUUUUAUUAUUUUUCUGUUAUUCCUUAAAUAUCCUCUAUUUUAUUUUAGUAUUUAUUUCAAAAAUAUCUAAAACACUUUUUAGUAUUGUGUUUGUAUUAUGUGGUGAUUUAGAUAUUUUUGAAAAUAGGGAUUGGAGGGGAGAUAAUAUUUUCAAACCUUUGGAGUGCACCCAAUAUUGUUGCAUGCUCAAGGCAAGCAUCUUGAACACUUGAUAUGGUGAAUGUUUGAUAAAUGUUUGCUAGAAUAUUUUAAGCAUGGUUUGAUUUUGCAUAUGGGUAGUAAUAUUGCAUGCAUGCAUGGUCAUGUAUAUAUUUUCUCUUGCAUGCAUUCCAUUCAUGUAGCAAUAUGCAUAAGUUGUGAUGAUCCAGGAAAGUGCUCCUCCUUGGACGAGCCGGUGGGCACGGGCCAUAUUUGACACGGUGGUGUCAUGAGAUAUAAAUGGAAGCAUGCAAGGGUUGUGGCCCUGUCCUCACGAUUUGAUCGAAAGAAAUCUUAUUGUGCUAACCCCUGCAGGGAAAACAUAAGCCUCCUGAGUCGACCAUAGAUCGAGUCUUGAUCCGGUAACCCCCAUACUUGUUCCGUGCUGCCACGGGUCCUUCCGGAAGGAGGGUACGGCUUAGUAAGUUGAUAACCCCUGUCCGGGUGCACACCACCCAAAGAACUACGAUGAGGGUUGAAGCCUGUCAUCGGGUCAGGGGCAUGGGUGUUUCCGGCUGUCGUGAUGCCGAGAGGGGGUCACCCCUUGUAAUCCGCGCGUUUAAUAGUGAUCCUGUGCUUUUCGGAGGUUGUGGCCUCCCUGACUUAGAGUUUUCUGGAACGAUGCUUUGGGUGAUUCCUGGCAUCUGGACGGAGUUUCUGGUGUGUGCAGGUCAGGCGUGUUUUCAACCCAAAGACCGUAAUGGGAAUUAGUCAGUACCGUGUUUUCAACCCAAAGACCGUAAUGGGAAUUAGUCAGUACCACGGUACUGACUAAGGAAAUCCCAUAAACGUGGGUAAAGAGUACAACCUCUACAGAGUUUUAAACCUAUUCGAAUAGCCGUGUCCGCGGUUAAGGACUACAGUCUGGGUUGGUCAAGUGUCGGUCUUAAAGUCGGUCUUCAGAGGAAAUAAUUAAAAUUGAGCAUGGUUUUGUUUUGUAGAAGAAUUAUUACUACUACUGAUGUUAUUAUGAAUAUUAUUGAUGCUAUGAUUAUUAUUGUGGACUAACCCGUUGCUCUUAUUUUAUUUUCAGAGUGUCUCAGGGGCUGGCUGGACAACCUCGGACACUCGUAUUUAUUUUCAAGACCUCUCGUGGUGUUGCCUGAGUUCUCGGAUGGUCGGAAUUUCAGCAAGGAGUACCACAGCGACGUCCGUGCGGAGCCUAGGAAUGUGAUCACGCGAGAUAGGAUUCAACCGGGUCAACUGUUCCUGUGGGAAUGAAGCCCCAUCGACGUUGAAGGACCACAAGUCAAUUCCGUCAUCCACCACCAGCUAUCAGCUUGUACUCAUCAGACCUUUAUGGUCACCAGACAUCAUGGUUGUAUCGCUAGACCUUUACGGUCUUGUAUCAAAUUCUUGUAAUUGCUUGGUAUUCUGUAACAAGGACGUGUCCACCAGUAACAGAAAUACUGGGCUGGUGAUGACACGAGGGGCUAA